rnacentral:rRNA from 1 species
CCUACGGGAGGCAGCAGUGGGGAAUAUUGGGCAAUGGGCGAAAGUCUGACCCAGCAAUGCCGCGUGAAGGAAGAAGGUCUUCGGAUUGUAAAGUUCUUUUGUCAGGGAAGAGUAAAAUGCCGGUACCUGCGAAAUAAGCUCCGGCUAACUACGUGCCAGCAGCCGCGUUAAUACGUAGGGAGCAAGCGUUGUUCGGAUUUAAGGGGCGGAAAGGGGUUGUAGGCGGUUAUACAAGUUAGAAGGGAAAGACCGAGGGCUUAACUCGGGUGCUGCUUCUAAAACUGUAAGUCUUGAGUGCGGUAGAGGUAAGUGGAAUGCCUAGUGUAGCGGUGGAAUGCGUAGAUAUUAGGAGGAACACCAGAGGCGAAGGCGGCCAACUGGACGGCAACUGACGCUGAGGCACGAAAGCGUGGGGAGCAAACAGGAUUAGAUACCCGAGUAGUC